UACGAAGGGUGCAAGCGUUGUUCGGAUUUAUUGGGCGUAAAGCGCGCGCAGGCGGAUUUUUAAGUCAGAUGUGAAAGCUCAGGGCCUAACCCUGAAAGUGCGUCUGAAACUGGAAGUCUAGAAUACCAAAGAGGAAAGGGGAAUAUCUCAUGUAGGGGUAAAAUCCGUAGAGAUGAGAUGGAACAUCGGAGGCGAAGGCGCCUUUCUGGUUGGUUAUUGACGCUGAGGCGCGAAAGCGUGGGGAGCAAACAGG
rnacentral:rRNA from 1 species